AGCACUUUACGACUGGCAGGAGGCGGAGAUGACAGACCGCUCCAGGAACGAGCUAUAGAGCGAUCGCAUACCCCCGCAAGGCCCUCCAGGACUCGCUGACUCCCGGGCAGGGGUCAAGGGUCAGGAAUGGGUCCAGCUGUGCGCCUGGAAAGGACCCAGCGUGCCCACGCUCCCGGCAAGCCAGGACUCAAACAUCCCCAAAGGGCGUCCGGGCUGAUGACGAUAGCUCCCAAUCGCCCUCCAGACGCACACUGGCAGGAACAACCGGAGGGACUUCCCUGACCGACCCCGCGUUUGCUCAGCUUUGA
ensembl:processed_transcript A930005H10Rik RIKEN cDNA A930005H10 gene